GCAAAAUUGUGCCAGCUCGAGAACGGGGUACGGAUCCCGUGUCUAUAAUUUCUGGACCACUACCAUCGAAACAAUCUUCAAAUGUCACAUGGACGAAGUAUGAUCUCAAUGUCAUUCCUACCAAAGAGGAAAUCCAUGACGUAUUGGUUGUUCGUCCUGGGGAUCACCUUCUCAAUGAUGCAGACAAGAAGAUGAUGGUGCCGCCGAUGACGGACACGACGACGAUGAUGCCGCCAAAGACGUUGCCGAAGACCUUCCACGACCGCGUGUCUUUGAUGGGCAUAAUCUCGAAGACGGCUUCGGAAUCGAUCGGGGUGUCGGGUCUGAAGUAUGCCGUGAGUGCCCGGGAACACCAAGGAAGAAGGUGGAUCUGGAUCGGUUUGAUAGCAUUUUGUCUGAGUAUCGCCAG